CGGAGGGUGCAAGCGUUAUCCGGAUUCACUGGGUUUAAAGGGUGCGUAGGUGGGUCUGUAAGUCCGUGGUGAAAUCUCCGAGCUUAACUUGGAAACUGCCAUGGAUACUAUAGGUCUUGAAUACUGCGGAGGUCAGCGGAAUAUGUCAUGUAGCGGUGAAAUGCUUAGAUAUGACAUAGAACACCAAUUGCGAAGGCAGCUGGCUACACAAAUAUUGACACUGAUGCACGAAAGCGUGGGGAUCAAACAGGAUUAGAUACCCUGGUAGUCCACGCCCUAAACGAUGGAUACUCGACAUUUGCGAUAAACUGCAAGUGUCUGAGCGAAAGCAUUAAGUAUCCCACCUGGGAAGUACGAUCGCAAGAUUG
rnacentral:rRNA from 1 species